rnacentral:tRNA from 1 species
CAAGGUAUAGCUUAAUAUAAAGUAUCCGGCCUACACCCGGAAGAUCUCAAUGCCACUUGACUACCUUGA